UACGUAGGGUGCAAGCGUUAAUCGGAAUUACUGGGCGUAAAGCGUGCGCAGGCGGUUUUGUAAGACCGAUGUGAAAUCCCCGGGCUUAACCUGGGAAUGGCAUUUGGGACUGCAAGGCUUGAGUGCGGCAGAGGAGACUAGAAUUCCUGGUGUAGCAGUGAAAUGCGUAGAUAUCAGGAGGAAUACCGAUGGCGAAGGCAGGUCUCUGGGCUGACACUGACGCUCAUGCACGAAAGCGUGGGGAGCAAACAGG
rnacentral:rRNA from 1 species